AGGGGAGCUUGCUCCCCAAGCUAGUGGCGGACGGGUGAGUAACACGUGAGCACCUGCCUUUCAGAGGGGGAUAACGUUUGGAAACGAACGCUAAUACCGCAUAACACCGCAUGAUCAAAGGAGCAACGCUGAAAGAUGGGCUCGCGUCCGAUUAGCUAGUUGGCGGGGUAACGGCCCACCAAGGCGACGAUCGGUAGCCGGACUGAGAGGUUGAUCGGCCACAUUGGGACUGAGACACGGCCCAGACUCCUACGGGAGGCAGCAGUGGGGGAUAUUGCACAAUGGAGGAAACUCUGAUGCAGCGACGCCGCGUGAGGGAAGACGGUCUUCGGAUUGUAAACCUCUGUCUUUGGGGACGAUAAUGACGGUACCCAAGGAGGAAGCUCCGGCUAACUACGUGCCAGCAGCCGCGGUAAUACGUAGGGAGCGAGCGUUGUCCGGAAUUACUGGGUGUAAAGGGAGCGUAGGCGGGGUCUCAAGUCGAAUGUUAAAUCUACCGGCUCAACUGGAGCUGCGUUCGAAACUGGGGCUCUUGAGUGAAGUAGAGGCAGGCGGAAUUCCUAGUGUAGCGGUGAAAUGCGUAGAUAUUAGGAGGAACACCAGUGGCGAAGGCGGCCUGCCGGGCUUUUACUGACGCUGAGGCUCGAAAGCGUGAGGAGCAAACAGGAUUAGAUACCCUGGUAGUCCACGCCGUANACGAUGAUUACUA
rnacentral:rRNA from 1 species